rnacentral:rRNA from 1 species
AUACAGAGGGCUCGAGCGUUAAUCGGAAUCACUGGGCUUAAAGGGUGCGUAGGCGGACCCGUCAGUGUCUUGUGAAAUCCCACGGCUUAACCGUGGAACUGCAGGGCAUACUACGGGUCUUGAACCCGGCAGGGGCAAUCGGAACUCUAGGUGGAGCGGUGAAAUGCGUAGAUAUCUAGAGGAACGCCAAAGGCGAAGGCAGAUUGCUGGGCCGGUGUUGACGCUCAGGCACGAAAGCAUGGGUAGC